rnacentral:ribozyme from 1 species
GGGGGACGAAGUCGAACUGAACACCUCCAUCGUGGUGUCCCCCGGGCAACGCUUGCAAAAGCGGCUAACGUUCAG